AACAAGGUUUCUGUAGGUGAACCUGCGGAAGGAUCAUUACCGAGUUGAUUCGAGCUCCGGCUCGACUCUCCCACCCUAUGUGUACCUACCUCUGUUGCUUUGGCGGGCCGCGGUCCUCCGCACCGGCGCCCUUCGGGGGGCUGGCCAGCGCCCGCCAGAGGACCAUAAAACUCCAGUCAGUGAACUUCGCAGUCUGAAAAACAAGUUAAUAAACUAAAACUUUCAACAACGGAUCUCUUGGUUCUGGCAUCGAUGAAGAACGCAGCGAAAUGCGAUAAGUAAUGUGAAUUGCAGAAUUCAGUGAAUCAUCGAAUCUUUGAACGCACAUUGCGCCCCUUGGUAUUCCGAGGGGCAUGCCUGUUCGAGCGUCAUUUCAACCCUCAAGCUCUGCUUGGUAUUGGGCCCCGUCCUCCACGGACGCGCCUUAAAGACCUCGGCGGUGGCGUCUUGCCUCAAGCGUAGUAGAAAACACCUCGCUUUGGAGCGCACGGCGUCGCCCGCCGGACGAACCUUUGAAUUAUUUCUCAAGGUUGACCUCGGAUCAGGUAGGGAUACCCGCUGAACUUAAGCAUAUCAAUAAGCGGAGGA
rnacentral:rRNA from 1 species